rnacentral:rRNA from 1 species
GAUGGCGACCGGCGCACGGGUGAGUAACACGUAUCCAACCUGCCGAUGACUCGGGGAUAGCCUUUCGAAAGAAAGAUUAAUACCCGAUGGCAUAGUUCUUCCGCAUGGUGGAACUAUUAAAGAAUUUCGGUCAUCGAUGGGGAUGCGUUCCAUUAGGUUGUUGGCGGGGUAACGGCCCACCAAGCCUUCGAUGGAUAGGGGUCUGAGAGGAAGGUCCCCCACAUUGGAACUGAGACACGGUCCAAACUCCUACGGGAGGCAGCAUG